UACGUAGGGCGCAAGCGUUGUCCGGAAUCAUUGGGCGUAAAGAGCUCGUAGGCGGCCUGUCGCGUCUGCUGUGAAAUCCCGGGGCUUAACCCCGGGCGUGCAGUGGAUACGGGCUGGCUGGAGGCAGGCAGGGGAGAGCGGAAUUCCCGGUGUAGCAGUGAAAUGCGUAGAGAUCGGGAGGAACACCAGUGGCGAAGGCGGCCUUCUGGACCAAUACUGACGCUGAUGCACGAAAGCGUGGGGAGCAAACAGG
rnacentral:rRNA from 1 species